rnacentral:rRNA from 1 species
GGAAUAUUGGACAAUGGGCGAAAGCCUGAUCCAGCAAUGCCGCGUGUGUGAAGAAGGCCCUAGGGUUGUAAAGCACUUUCAGUGGGGAAGAAAAGCAGGGUGUUAAUACCACCCUGUGCUGACGUAACCCACAGAAGAAGCACCGGCUAACUCCGUGCCAGCAGCCGCGGUAAUACGGAGGGUGCAAGCGUUAAUCGGAAUUACUGGGCGUAAAGCGAGUGUAGGCGGCUGCGUGAGUCGGUUGUGAAAGCCCCGGGCUUAACCUGGGAAUUGCGAUCGAUACUGCGUAGCUAGAGUCUGAUAGAGGGAAGUGGAAUUCCAGGUGUAGCGGUGAAAUGCGUAGAUAUCUGGAGGAACAUCAGUGGCGAAGGCGGCUUCCUGGAUCAAGACUGACGCUCAGGCUCGAAAGCGUGGGUAGCA